rnacentral:rRNA from 1 species
AAACUCAAAGGAAUUGACGGGGGCCCGCACAAGCGGUGGAGCAUGUGGUUUAAUUCGAAGCAACGCGAAGAACCUUACCAGGUCUUGACAUCCUUUGACCACUCUGGAGACAGAGCUUUCCCUUCGGGGACAAAGUGACAGGUGGUGCAUGGUUGUCGUCAGCUCGUGUCGUGAGAUGUUGGGUUAAGUCCCGCAACGAGCGCAACCCUUGAUUUUAGUUGCCAGCAUUUAGUUGGGCACUCUAAAGUGACUGCCGGUGCAAGCCGGAGGAAGGUGGGGAUGACGUCAAAUCAUCAUGCCCCUUAUGACCUGGGCUACACACGUGCUACAAUGGAUAGUACAAAGGGUCGCGAAGCCGCGAGGUGGAGCUAAUCCCAUAAAACUAUUCUCAGUUCGGAUUGUAGGCUGCAACUCGCCUACAUGAAGCCGGAAUCGCUAGUAAUCGUGGAUCAGCAUGCCACGGUGAAUACGUUCCCGGGCCUUGUACACACCGCCCGUCACACCACGAGAGUUUGUAACACCCGAAGUCGGUAGGGUAACCUUUAUGGAGCCAGCCGCCGAAGGUGGGACAGAUAAUUGGGGUGAAGUCGUAACAAGGUAGCCGUAUCGGAAGGUGCGGCUGGAUCACCUCCUUUCUAAGGAA